rnacentral:misc_RNA from 1 species
AGUGGGUGUUCCAAUCAUAUGACAGGUAAGAAGACGAUUUUUAAACAACUUGAUGAGACUCAAAAAAGGAAGGUCAAAUUGGGAGAUGAUCAAGAAAUACAAGUUAAAGGGAAAGGAACAGUAGCCAUUAAAACCAGCCAAGGUAAAACAAAGCUUUUACAUGAUGUUCAAUUUGUCCCUAACUUGGCACACAAUUUGUUGAGUGUUGGACAGUUAAUGGCUAAUGGAUACUCAAUUACGUUUGAUAGUGAAGAAUGU